rnacentral:rRNA from 1 species
AAAUUGAAGAGUUUGAUCAUGGCUCAGAUUGAACGCUGGCGGCAGGCCUAACACAUGCAAGUCGAGCGGUAACACAGAGAGCUUGCUCUCGGGUGACGAGCGGCGGACGGGUGAGUAAUGUCUGGGAAACUGCCUGAUGGAGGGGGAUAACUACUGGAAACGGUAGCUAAUACCGCAUAACGUCGCAAGACCAAAGUGGGGGACCUUCGGGCCUCAUGCCAUCAGAUGUGCCCAGAUGGGAUUAGCUAGUAGGUGGGGUAAUGGCUCACCUAGGCGACGAUCCCUAGCUGGUCUGAGAGGAUGACCAGCCACACUGGAACUGAGACACGGUCCAGACUCCUACGGGAGGCAGCAGUGGGGAAUAUUGCACAAUGGGCGCAAGCCUGAUGCAGCCAUGCCGCGUGUAUGAAGAAGGCCUUCGGGUUGUAAAGUACUUUCAGCGAGGAGGAAGGCGUUAAGGUUAAUAACCUUGGCGAUUGACGUUACUCGCAGAAGAAGCACCGGCUAACUCCGUGCCAGCAGCCGCGGUAAUACGGAGGGUGCAAGCGUUAAUCGGAAUUACUGGGCGUAAAGCGCACGCAGGCG